rnacentral:rRNA from 1 species
UACGUAGGGGGCAAGCGUUGUCCGGAAUCAUUGGGCGUAAAGCGCGUGUAGGCGGCCAGGUAAGUCCGUUCUGAAAGCCCGGGGCUCAACCCCGGGAGGCGGAUGGAUACUGCUUGGCUCGAGUCCGGAAGAGGCGAGUGGAAUUCCCGGUGUAGCGGUGAAAUGCGCAGAUAUCGGGAGGAACACCAAUGGCGAAGGCAGCUCGCUGGGACGGUACUGACGCUGAGGAGCGAAAGCCAGGGGAGCAAACGGG